rnacentral:rRNA from 1 species
CCUACGGGAGGCAGCAGUGGGGAAUAUUGGGCAAUGGAGGAAACUCUGAACCAGCAAAGCCGCGUGAAGGAAGAAGGUCUUCGGAGUGUAAAGUUCUUUAGUCAGGGGAGAAAAGAAUGACGGUACCUGAAGAAUAAGCUCCGGCUAACUACGUGCCAGGAGCCGCGGUAAUACGGAGGGAGCAAGCGUAGUUCGGAAUGAAUGGGCGUAAAGGGUGAGUAGGCGGUUAUACAAGUUAGAAGUGAAAUACCCAGGGCUUAACUCUGGUGCUGCUUCUAAAACUGUAAGACUUGAGUGCAGUAGAGGUUGGUGGAAUUCCUAGUGUAGCGGUGAAAUGCGUAGAUAUUAGGAGGAACACCAGUGGCGAAGGCAGCUAACUAGACUGCAACUGACGCUGAGGCACGAAAGUGUGGGGAGCAAACAGGAUUAGAUACCCUAGUAGUC